CCUAGGGGAGGCUGCAGUGGGGAAUAUUGGACAAUGGGCGAAAGCCUGAUCCAGCCAUGCCGCGUGUGUGAAGAAGGCCUUCGGGUUGUAAAGCACUUUCAGUGGGGAAGAAAGCCUUGGGGCUAAUACCCUCGAGGAAGGACAUCACCCACAGAAGAAGCACCGGCUAACUCCGUGCCAGCAGCCGCGGUAAUACGGAGGGUGCGAGCGUUAAUCGGAAUUACUGGGCGUAAAGCGCGCGUAGGCGGUCUGAUAAGCCGGUUGUGAAAGCCCCGGGCUCAACCUGGGAACGGCAUCCGGAACUGUCAGGCUAGAGUGCAGGAGAGGAAGGUAGAAUUCCCGGUGUAGCGGUGAAAUGCGUAGAGAUCGGGAGGAAUACCAGUGGCGAAGGCGGCCUUCUGGACUGACACUGACGCUGAGGUGCGAAAGCAUGGGUAGCAAACAGGAUUAGAUACCCCAGUAGUC
rnacentral:rRNA from 1 species